AAAAAUAUCUCCAGUCCGGAGAGGGCUAACUGUUGCCUGAAGAAGGGUAA
rnacentral:ncRNA from 1 species